rnacentral:rRNA from 1 species
UUUUACAAAAACAUUUCCUUUGGGUAUUGAUAGAAGGUAGGCCCUGCCCAGUGCCUGGUAAAGGGUAAACGGCGGCCUUAGUCUGAGGGUCCGAAGGUAGCGUAAUCAGUUGGCUUUUAAUUGGAGUCUUGUAUGAAUGGGUUAACGUGAUAACGACUGUGUCGCAGGCAUGAAAUUGAAAUUAACUUUUAGGUGAAAAGGCCUGAAUGCAAGAAAAGGACGACAAGACCCUAGAAUCUUUAUUUUUGCCCACACUUACGAUUAUUGAAUAUAAAUAAGUGUUUACCCGUAUGUGGGGUUACAAUUUUGUUGGGGCAACAGGGGGAAAAUGUCUCGCCUAGUCAUUCUAGAUAAAGUUUAGUUUGAAGUGUAUGUUGGCUUACGUGCGUGUGGCCAUAAUUUUGUGAAAAUGAUUAAGUUACUCUAGGGAUAACAGCGCCAUAUCUUUCUAGAGUUCUUAUUGAAAAAGAUGAUUGCGACCUCGAUGUUGGCUUAGGGUAUCCUGUAGGUGCAGCAGCUUACAAGGGUUGGUCUGUUCGCCCAUUAAAACCCUACGUGAUCUGAUUCCCAG